rnacentral:rRNA from 1 species
UACGUAGGGUGCGAGCGUUGUCCGGAAUUAUUGGGCGUAAAGGGCGCGUAGGCGGCUUGGCAAGUGGAAGGUGAAAUCCCUCGGCUUAACCGAGGAACUGCCCUCCAAACUGCUUGGCUUGAGACCGGGAGAGGUGAGUGGAAUUCCCAGUGUAGCGGUGAAAUGCGUAGAUAUUGGGAGGAACACCAGUGGCGAAGGCGGCUCACUGGACCGGUACUGACGCUGAUGCGCGAAAGCGUGGGGAGCAAACGGG